GGACCUGGCUGAUGGCUAGAGAAGGGUAUCUCAAACAGACCAGAGCUCUGGCCAGGCGAGUCCCCAGGCUGAGGCCAGGAUAAAAGGGCCUGUGGAGGUACUGGGGCUGCAGUGGUUCAGCCAGGCCAGGAAAAGGCAGCAGGUCCAAACCCCCUUGCUAAUGAUGAGCAGCCAUUGUAGACUACCGUUUGCCCCUGAGAAAAGGGGCUAGAUGAAGACUGGCAGUUGGUCACUGAGGCAAGUGACCAGAUGCUCUGCCGGGGUCACUGGUGCUCUCCCCACCAUGGUCGCUGAAACAAACCAUGGUCGCUGAAACGAGCACUUGCUCGGUGCAGCCACGAUCCCAGAGGAUGAUCCAUCAGAAAGAUCCCGACGUGGCAGAGAAGGGAGCUGUUUCUGAGGUCUGGAGGCCAGCUGGGGAUGGACGCAGUGACGCUCUUUUCCAUGCUUAGCUCAGCUUCUACCACCUAGGACUGCCUUACUCCGGCUGUUCUUCUGGCGCCCCGUUCUGCAGUCCUUUCUGGGGAAGAACUCCCAUGGAAGCCGGUGGAAACUUUGUUUUAGGGAAGGACUCCUGGGUUUGAUGCUCUGUAGCCUGCAGUUUACAGAUCUGAGUCUUCAAUUGCUGCUCAGUGAUUUGAUUUAUUGUUAUCUGUUUUUUCUCUGAGCUCCUUUGGGCCCUGCCCAGUGCUGGAUGGGGUGUGGAGCAGCCUACCUCCUCCCCACACUGCGAGGGGAGCUCCGAGAGGAAUUCUGCCUUGGGGAGUUCCUCUUGGAGCCACCUGGCACACAAAAGGAACAUGCCCAUGGCUACAGCCCUUUGCGGGGAUACAGCUCCCUGCCUCCACACGGCCGGCCCCACGCUGGGGUGGAAGAAGGGUAUGUGGAGCCAGGCUGUGCAUGCCCUGGGGGAAUGUAGGCUUCCAGCUCAGCUUAGCUCUGGGGAGCUGCAAAUCCAGUGCUUUGCCGGUAGGGUGGGAGUUGGGGGGGUGAAUUUGCAUUAAUUCCUCCAGCAGCUGCUUCUCCUGCUGUUUGACAAUGUACCAAUGAAGUGUGUGAGAACUGGCACCACCCCAGCUCUGAGUGUAACAAGUGCCUACUCGCUUUCCACCCACCCAUCUGCUGUGCUAACAGCCACACAAUCUGGUAGGAAAAUACCACUAAGCGUGUAACGGAUACUGAACUGGACAACAGCACGAGCUACACUUACUCUGUCAGCACAAGAUGGCUCCCUGCCUUACAGGGGUAAAGGGCUGCACAAAGGGUGUGAUGUAGGGGUGGAAAGCUGCCCAAU